rnacentral:rRNA from 1 species
UACGAAGGGUGCAAGCGUUACUCGGAAUUACUGGGCGUAAAGGGUGCGUAGGUGGUUGUUUAAGUCUGCUGUGAAAGCCCCGGGCUCAACCUGGGAAUGGCAGUGGAUACUGGACAGCUAGAGUGCGGUAGAGGGUAGUGGAAUUCCCGGUGUAGCAGUGAAAUGCGUAGAGAUCGGGAGGAACACCAGUGGCGAAGGCGGCUUUUUGGUCUGUAACUGACGCUGAGGCGCGAAAGCGUGGGGAGCAAACAGG